CAAUGCUGAUGCGAAAUCCUAUAUGCUCCAUACGCAAGCUGCCAGUAGUUGCCUCAGAGCCCGCGGGUUGAAGAAAACGUUUUGGUUAAACGUUGCGUGUACUAAGUGUGCCGAAGAAGAUUUUUUUAUUAUAAUUAAAAGCAAGAAAAAAGAAAAGAAUAAUUCACCUAAAAAAAUUAAAUAAAUUUUAAUAAAUGAGUGUACAAAUAUUUUGUAUUAAAGUGAAAAGAAAGUCCAACAAGGCAUAAAAACCCAUAAAAAAAGAAAAGAAAAUAAUCAAUGGAAAUUUUUAAGAAUAGCUAAGAAAAAAAAUAUAAAUUUAUUCGGAUUAAUAGAUAUGUAUAUCGUAUAUGUAUGUAAAAAUAAAAAAAAAUAUAUACAUACAUAUGUAUACAAAUAAAUAAAGUGGAUUUGCUUGGUGCCAAGAAAACGACAUAAAGUCAAUAAAAAAUAACAUGUUUGAAUAGAAAAGAAAAAUUUAAAAUAAUUGUAAUAAAUUUACAUAUUUUUGUAAGUUAAACGCAGACCAUUGAUGAUGAUAAAUAAUCAAUAAAAAAAUAUUAAAUAAAAAUACAACCGUUACUGCCGUAAGGUUUUUCUUUGUUCUUUUUGGAAAAGAAAUCAAACAACAACAGUUAAGAAAAACUAAAAUUAAACAUUUCUACAACUGCCUGUAAUCUAAAAAUAUAUAUGUAUAAAAAAUCCGUUGUCAUUGUGUGUCUGUAUCUCGCUGUUUUAUACUUUGCUGUGCUAAAUUUAUCACAUCGUAACGUAACGUGAAUUCGUUUGUUUGUUUGUUUUCAAUAAAGAAUAUGGAAAUAGAGAUGUGGAAUGAGUUUACACUUUUUAUAAUUCUUUGAAAUUACGGGCGAAUGAUAUAGUUUCUGUUUUCCUCAUUAAUCUUAUUCUGUGUGUAUGUGCGAAAGUAGGCGAAAAGCACUUCAAAUACAUUUUGUGCUCAAUUUUACGAAAAGACUGCAUUUAAAUCAACAUUGCGGCAUUAAUAAUGGCACGUUGUGCAGAGUUAACGGAUUUGUAUAAAGGAGCUUUUAUGAUGAAAGAAUAAAAAAAGUGUUAUUUUUUUGAGUGCAACAUUUUACAAACCUUUAUCCCAAAGCAGUAACAAAACUAAAACUACAACUACACUUAAACCAAAAGAUUUUAAACUUCUUUACUGCUGUUUUCCCAUCAGAAAUAACAGAACAAAUUCGACAUUUUCUCUUACCGCCACAAAGAAAAAAAAAAAAAAAAAACAAAAUACAAGCGCAGCCACACAAACUUACAUAUUCAACAAUAGACAGACAGACUGACAGUUAGUUGGGCAGACAUGAAACUAUCACUACACUACUGCCAAUAAAAUAAAAAAUGACAUUCAUGCCAUUGCGAAAAGUACACCAUUCGGUCUCUGUUUUGUAUGUAGUUGCAGCUUCAACUACAAUUUGAUUCAGUGAAAAGUUUUUGUAUGUUGCAUUUAUAAUGCUGGUUUAUAUGCGAAAAGCAGCAUUGAAAUUUCCCGCAGGGAACACUGUUAUGCAUACAGCAUAAAAAAUACAAAACACAUCGUACAAGUAAGUUGCAAAGGCGGAGCUAGACCAUUGUUUAGAUGCCAUUUAAAGCCAUCUAAUACUAAACGCAAAAAAAUAUAUAUAAACAACAAUACAAAAAAUUAGCAAAAAAACUAUAAAAACUUGAUAUAAAAAAAUAAGAACAAAAAUAAAAACAAACAAUACCAAUAUUACCACCACAAGCACUAGCAAGCACCACAACCAACCACCACCACUACUAUUACUUACUACUAUUACAACAA